GCUGAACUGAGACCCACCUUAGGGGUCAGGAUCCAUCCUCUUCCAUGAUGAUCAGGGAUGAGGAGUUAGCCAGAUAAGCGGACUAACGUCCACAAGUCAUGGACUCCUGUUCUGGGUCACACAGAGUUAGGGCUAAGAAACCAGGUCUGCAGGCGCCUAGUUUCCCGCAGUUCUUCUGGGUCUGAGUUUGGGGUGGUGGGGAAGAGGCGAGCGUGUCAAGGAGGGUGAGAGGGAGGGUGGGGCUGUGUUUCUGGGACUUUCCUCGCUGAGGUCAGAGGCACCGAAAUAGACGCGCUGCAGCGAGCGCCCGGAGGCCCGGUCACACCCUGUGCCCGGCCCGCCGCGGGGAGCGGUCCAGCCGCAGCGCACGAGCCCUCCGCCGUCCCACUGCCCCCCGGAACCGCGCGAGCCUCGCAAACCGCUCGGCGCCCAGUCUCCACCUCGCCGGCUUCAUGAACGUGCCCCGGGAGACCCCGACGCCCUGAAGCCGGCGCGGCCGCCCCACCGCCCCACCGCCCCACCGCCCCACCGCCGUCUGCGCGAACGCCGGGCCUCCCCCUCCGCCCAUCGCUGCCACCAUCUCUACUCCGACGGCUGCGGCGGUGGGUGUGGCCACCGCGCUUGCCAAUCAGGAAGUGAGGGCCGGCUCCGGACGCGCCCCGCUGUUACGUCACUCCGACGGCCCCGGAUGCCCCGCCCAGUGGCCUUGCCUGGGAAAGGCGACUGGGGCACCGGUGGGUGCGGACCCUCAAAGGGUGAAAAUAAUUCCCGUGUGAAUUGCGCGCAUUAUAACUGCUCUAAGAAAUGCAGCCAGGGCAUUUUAAAAUGUAUUUUUUCAAUCACUCCUCUUCCAGCCAUUUAUCCGUCCG
rnacentral:lncRNA from 1 species